rnacentral:rRNA from 1 species
GACGAACGCUGGCGGCGUGCCUAAUACAUGCAAGUCGAACGGUCUUUUCUAUGGAAGCUUGCUUCCGCUGAGAAGAUAGUGGCAAACGGGUGAGUAACACGUGGGUAACCUGCCCAUAAGAGGGGGAUAACAUCCGGAAACGGGUGCUAAUACCGCAUAGUUUUCUUGAUCGCAUGAUCGGGAAAGGAAAGACGGCCUUUGUGCUGUCGCUUAUGGAUGGACCCGCGGCGUAUUAGUUAGUUGGUGAGGUAACGGCUCACCAAGACGAUGAUGCGUAGCCGACCUGAGAGGAUGAUCAGCCACACUGGAACUGAGACACGGUCCAGACUCCUACGGGAGGCAGCAGUAGGGAAUCUUCCGCAAUGGACGAAAGUCUGACGGAGCAACGCCGCGUGAGUGAUGAAGGUUUUCGGAUCGUAAAACUCUGUUGUUAGGGAAGAACAAGUGCCGUUCGAAAGGGCGGCACCUUGACGGUACCUAACGAGAAAGCCACGGCUAACUACGUGCCAG